GUUAUUUUGGACUACACUAUUAGUCUAAGUCCUUCGAGGACUCCGUUAUUAAGGUGAUGACACCUGUGGAUACUUCUCUAGUCUACAGCUCUGUCGCUAGUGAUUGAACACUCCUUAGAGUCAUGGGAUAGUGUGGCUAGCUGAACAAGCCUUAAUAACUUUGACGGAGAGGCUCAAC
rfam:Beggiatoa sp. IS2 Ga0073106_1185, whole genome shotgun sequence.